rnacentral:rRNA from 1 species
AGAGUUUGAUCCUGGCUCAGGAUGAACGCUAGCGGUGUGCCUUAAGCAUGCAAGUCGAGCGCUUGUGUUUCGCACAAGGAUAACGGAUUAACGCUGAUUUUUGGACGGAUUAGUGCAGGUUUAUCUGCAAAAAUCUGUUUUUGAUUAGCGAAAAUCAGUGUCCUCGCGCGAAGCGCAAGAGCGGCGGACGGCUGAGUAACACGUAGGUAGCUACCCUUUAGCGGGGGAUAGCCCGCCGAAAGGCGGAGUAAUCCCGCAUAAUCCCCGCCUUUGGUGGGGGAAAGAGCUUAACUGCUCACUAAAGGAGGCGCCUGCGGCCUAUCAGCUUGUUGGUAGGGUAAUGGCCUACCAAGGCAAAGACGGGUAGGGGGCGUGAGAGCGUGGCCCCCCAGAAUGGGACUGAGACACGGCCCAUACACCUACGGGUGGCAGCAACUGGGAAUCUUGCGCUAUGGGCGAAAGCCUGACGCAGCGACACCGCGUGAAGGAUGAAGGCCUUCGGGUUGUAAACUUCUGUUAAAUAGCACCGGCUAACUACGUGCCAGCAGCUGCGGUAAGACGUAGGGUGCAAGCGUUAUCCGGAUUUACUGGGCGUGAAGAGUUCGUAGGCGGAAAGGUAGGUUGUUGGUUAAAGCCCCCGGCUCAACCGGGGAAAAGCUGACAAAACCGCCUUUCUUGUCCUCUGCAGGGGGUGCUGGAACUUACCAUGUAGGAGUGAAAUCCGUUGAUAUGGUAAGGAACGCCAACGGCGAAGGCGGGCACCUGGGCAGUAGGAGACGCUGAGGAACGAAAGCUAGGGGAGCGAACCGGAUUAGAUACCCGGGUAGUCCUAGCCGUAAACGAUGUCCGCUAGUUGCUUGAGAGUAAUCUUAGGUGACGAAGGUAACCCAUUAAGCGGACCGCCUGGGAAGUACGAUCGCAAGAUUGAAACUCAAAGGAAUUGGCGGGGAGGCGCACAACCAGUGGAGCAUGUGGUUUAAUUCGAUACAAAGCGAAGAACCUUACCUGGGUUUGACAUCCAGCUUUUUCCUGCUUUGGAAACAGAGCAAGGGUCUGCCUUUGGCAGAAAAGGCUGGACAGCUACUGCAUGGUUGUCGUCAGCUCGUGUCGUGAGACGUUCCCUUAAGUGGGGUAACGAGCGCAACCCCUAUCCUGUGUUGAAUUUUCACAGGAGACCGCCCCGCCGUUUCUGGAAACAAAUCUUUUUGUUUGGCUAUUUUUAAGCUUUUCUAAAAAAAUACCAACCGGUAAGAUUUGUUAAUAGAAACGGCGGGGAGGAAGGUGGGGACGACGUCAAAUCAGCAUGGUGCUUAUGUCCAGGGCGACACACAUCCUACAAUGGGGAGUAACAAUGGGCUGCCAAGCCGUAAGGCGGAGCUAAUCCCAGCAAACCUCCUCUCAGUGGGGAUUGAGGGCUGCAAUUCGCCCUCAUGAACGCGGAAUUGGUAGUAAUCGCGGAUCAGCAGGCCGCGGUGAAUACGUUCUCGCCUCUUGCACACACUGCCCGUCAAAUGAGCAAAGUCAGGGGUAGCUGAAGGCUCCCUGCCGUUUUAGGCGGGGGGACGAAGCUAAACUUGGCGAUGAGCGUUAAGUCGUAACAAGGUAUCCCUACUGGAAGGUGGGGAUG